rnacentral:rRNA from 1 species
GAAAGCCUUUCGGCUUAACCGGAGAAGUGCAUCGGAAACUGGAUAACUUGAGUGCAGAAGAGGGUAGUGGAACUCCAUGUGUAGCGGUGGAAUGCGUAGAUAUAUGGAAGAACACCAGUGGCGAAGGCGGCUACCUGGUCUGCAACUGACGCUGAGACUCGAAAGCAUGGGUAGCGAACAGGAUUAGAUACCCUGGUAGUCCAUGCCGUAAACGAUGAGUGCUAGGUGUUGGAGGGUUUCCGCCCUUCAGUGCCGGAGCUAACGCAUUAAGCACUCCGCCUGGGGAGUACGACCGCAAGGUUGAAACUCAAAGGAAUUGACGGGGGCCCGCACAAGCGGUGGAGCAUGUGGUUUAAUUCGAAGCUACGCGAAGAACCUUACCAGGUCUUGACAUCUUGCGCCAACCCUAGAGAUAGGGCGUUUCCUUCGGGAACGCAAUGACAGGUGGUGCAUGGUCGUCGUCAGCUCGUGUCGUGAGAUGUUGGGUUAAGUCCCGCAACGAGCGCAACCCUUGUUACUAGUUGCCAGCAUUAAGUUGGGCACUCUAGUGAGACUGCCGGUGACAAACCGGAGGAAGGUGGGGACGACGUCAGAUCAUCAUGCCCCUUAUGACCUGGGCUACACACGUGCUACAAUGGACGGUACAACGAGUCGCGAACUCGCGAGGGCAAGCAAAUCUCUUAAAACCGUUCUCAGUUCGGACUGCAGGCUGCAACUCGCCUGCACGAAGUCGGAAUCGCUAGUAAUCGCGGAUCAGCAUGCCGCGGUGAAUACGUUCCCGGGCCUUGUACACACCGCCCGUCACACCAUGAGAGUUUGUAACACCCAAAGUCGGUGGGGUAACCUUUUAGGAGCCAGCCGCCUAAGGUGGGACAGAUGAUUAGGGUGAAGUCGUAACAAGGUAACCGUA